GGAGCCAUAGCUGGGUGGUAGAACAUCUGCCUUGGAUUCAGAGGGUCCCAGGUUCAAACCCUAGCAUCUCCA